rnacentral:rRNA from 1 species
CUCCUACGGGAGGCAGCAGUAAGGAAUAUUGGUCAAUGGGCGCAAGCCUGAACCAGCCAUGCCGCGUGCAGGAAGACGGCCCUAUGGGUUGUAAACUGCUUUUGUCAGGGAAUAAACCUUUGUACGAGUUACAGAGCUGAAGGUACCUGAAGAAUAAGCAUCGGCUAACUCCGUGCCAGCAGCCGCGGUAAUACGGAGGAUGCAAGCGUUAUCCGGAUUCAUUGGAUUUAAAGGGUGCGCAGGCGGAUAGAUAAGUCAGGGGUGAAAUCCCACAGCUCAACUGUGGAACUGCCUUUGAUACUGUCAAUCUAGAGUAUAGUUGAAGUUGGCGGAAUGUGUCAUGUAGCGGUGAAAUGCUUAGAUAUGACACAGAACACCGAUCGCGAAGGCAGCUAGCUAAGCUAUAACUGACGCUCAUGCACGAAAGCGUGGGGAUCAAACAGGAUUAGAUACCCUGGUAGUCCACGCUGUAAACGAUGAUUACUCGAUGUUGGCGAUACACAGUCAGCGUCUAAGGGAAACCAAUAAGUAAUCCACCUGGGGAGUACGAUCGCAAGAUUGAAACUCAAAGGAAUUGACGGGGGCCCGCACAAGCGGAGGAGCAUGUGGUUUAAUUCGAUGAUACGCGAGGAACCUUACCUGGGCUAGAACGUAGAAUGACUAUAGGAGAAAUCUUAUAUCCCUUCGGGGCAGUCUACGAGGUGCUGCAUGGUUGUCGUCAGCUCGUGCCGUGAGGUGUCGGGUUAAGUCCCAUAACGAGCGCAACCCCUACCUUUAGUUGCCAUCAGGUAAUGCUGGGGACUCUAAAGGAACUGCCUACGCAAGUAGUGAGGAAGGCGGGGAUGACGUCAAAUCAGCACGGCCCUUACGUCCAGGGCUACACACGUGCUACAAUGGCCGAUACAGAGGGCAGCUACCUGGUGACAGGAUGCAAAUCUCCAAAGUCGGUCUCAGUUCGGAUCGGAGUCUGCAACCCGACUCCGUGAAGUUGGAUUCGCUAGUAAUCGCGCAUCAGCCAUGGCGCGGUGAAUACGUUCCCGGGCCUUGUACACACCGCCCGUCAAGCCAUGGAAGUUGGGGGGACCUAAAGUCGAUAACCGUAAGGAGUCGCCUAGGGUAAAACCAAUGACUGGGGCUAAGUCGUAACAAGGUA